rnacentral:rRNA from 1 species
UACAGAGGGGGCAAGCGUUAUUCGGAAUUAUUGGGCGUAAAGGGCUCGUAGGCGGUCCAUCACGUCGGGAGUGAAAAGCUGGGGCUUAACCCCAGUCCUGCUUCCGAUACGGGUGGACUAGAGGUAGGCAGGGGAGAACGGAAUUCCGUGGUGUAGCGGUGAAAUGCGCAGAUAUCAGGAGGAACACCGGUGGCGAAGGCGGUUCUCUGGGCAACUACUGACGCUGAGGAGCGAAAGCGUGGGAGCGAACAGG